GAGUUUGAUCGUGGCUCAGAUUGAACGCUGGCGGCAUGCCUUACACAUGCAAGUCGAACGGCAGCACGGGAGCUUGCUCCUGGUGGCGAGUGGCGAACGGGUGAGUAAUGCAUCGGAACGUAUCCUGGAGUGGGGGAUAACGUAGCGAAAGUUACGCUAAUACCGCAUAUUCUGUGAGCAGGAAAGCGGGGGACCUUCGGGCCUCGCGCUCUUGGAGCGGCCGAUGUCGGAUUAGCUAGUUGGUGAGGUAAAGGCUCACCAAGGCGACGAUCCGUAGCAGGUCUGAGAGGAUGAUCUGCCACACUGGAACUGAGACACGGUCCAGACGUCCUACGGGAGGCAGGCAGUGGGAAUUUUGGACAAUGGGGGCAACCCUGAUCCAGCCAUGCCGCGUGAGUGAAGAAGGCCU
rnacentral:rRNA from 1 species